CAACUUGAGAGUUUGAUCCUGGCUCAGAACGAACGCUGGCGGCAUGCCUAACACAUGCAAGUCGAACGAGACCUUCGGGUCUAGUGGCGCACGGGUGCGUAACGCGUGGGAACCUGCCUUUAGGUUCGGAAUAACUCAGAGAAAUUUGAGCUAAUACCGGAUGAUGACUUCGGUCCAAAGAUUUAUCGCCUGAAGAUGAGCCCGCGUUGGAUUAGCUAGUUGGUGGGGUAAAGGCCUACCAAGGCGACGAUCCAUAGCUGGUCUGAGAGGAUGAUCAGCCACACUGGGACUGAGACACGGCCCAGACUCCUACGGGAGGCAGCAGUGGGGAAUAUUGGACAAUGGGCGAAAGCC
rnacentral:ncRNA from 1 species